rnacentral:rRNA from 1 species
AGUGAACGCUGGCGGUAGGCCUAACACAUGCAAGUCGAACGGCAGCACAGUAAGAGCUUGCUCUUACGGGUGGCGAGUGGCGGACGGGUGAGGGACACAUAGGAAUCUACUUUUUCGUGGGGGAUAACGUAGGGAAACUUACGCUAAUACCGCAUACGACCUACGGGUGAAAGCAGGGGAUCUUAGGACCUUGCGCGAUAGAAUGAGCCGAUGUCGGAUUAGCUAGUUGGCGGGGUAAAGGCCCACCAAGGCGACGAUCCGUAGCUGGUCUGAGAGGAUGAUCAGCCACACUGGAACUGAGACACGGUCCAGACUCCUACGGGAGGCAGCAGUGGGGAAUAUUGGACAAUGGGCGCAAGCCUGAUCCAGCCAUACCGCGUGGGUGAAGAAGGCCUUCGGGUUGUAAAGCCCUUUUGUUGGGAAAGAAAAGCAGCAGGUUAAUACCCCGCUGUUCUGACGGUACCCAAAGAAUAAGCACCGGCUAACUUCGUG